CUACACGAUGCUAACCCCAGGCUCGUCGGGUUUUUUCAAGAAGGAAGCCCGAAUUCCUAUGCUAGAUCCACCAUGCCAUUUAAUGUUGCAGGUCAUGACGAAUCUUGUGAUUGGUCUGUGUCAAAGCAAUGGAUACACAU
rnacentral:snoRNA from 1 species